UAACUUGAUCAAAGCAAGUCUGAAAUCUCAAAUGUAACAAACAAACACCCAAUUGGCAACAGCGCCAAAUUGAUAAUAGGUUUUUAAGAUCAAUUAAUCCUAAAGCACUAUCAUAUCGUUGUAGUACUGAAGGUUGUCAAUCCAAAUGGGUGUGAUGCUAACAAUCAAGAUGUGAUCAGAAGUCACUAAGUCAAGCCAAGCAAUAACAGGUUGUGGUGUGUUCUAGCAGUUCUAAGUGAACAUGCAGAAAACAGAAAUUCAAGUAGAAACAGAAAAACACUCGACCAACACAGCUCUUUGCAGAGCACUGGGUGAGGUCGAGUGACAGGUCGAGUAACAGACAGAAAAUAAAACACAGAUACUCGACUGCACAGUCUGUUGCCAGACAACAGGGUGGUCGAGUAUGAGGUCGAGUAACAAAAAAGAACUGCAGAAAUUAAACCACAGAUAACAAGAUGCAGUAAACAACAGUAGAGUAAAAAAAAAAUUCAAUAAGAUAAAA
rnacentral:sRNA from 1 species